UUUAAAAUUCACGUUUUUUUUCUUUGGUCUCGAGACCGGCGCCCAAUGACGGCGCUUAUUGUUUCCGAUCGCCACGCGAAUUUUUUGCUAUCCGUUAUCGUGUUCCCGCUAAAACGUCGUUAUCAGCGCGUCGACGUCACGGUUUUGUUUUUCGCGCCAUCGUCGUCCGUUACUUCGUCGUUUAUUUUCAUGAUAAUUCGAGUUUCGUCCGUCGCCCUGUCCUUCCCAUAUAUGAUUCUGUAAUUUAUAAAUGGCGUUUGUUGUGUCUUGACGACCAAGAACUGAUUUAUAUCGCGGGUAACGCAUAUUUAUUUAUUAUGAAACGUGUGUUUUGAUUUUGUGAUAUUCCAAUUUUUUAAUUUAUGAUGUUUGCCAGAACUUAAUGUUUGUGGUUCCGCUUAAAUAUUUUUUCGACGGUCGAUGUACGACAGUAAUGACUGUUGAUUAAUGUCAUUUGUAAAUUAUGUAGUUCUAUUGCGAUUAUUAGUCGAAACGUGUGAUCGAUGGCGUUUGUUGUGUUCCGAGGACUGCGGUCGAAUAGUGGCUCAACCCGUUCGAUCAACUCUGAUCGACAACGGAUUUAUUACACGGUCUGUGCGGCUUUUGUUUUGUCCGGAUGACUGGUCGAAUAGCGUCUUGACCCAUUGGCCAAUAGUGCUGGCUAUUAUUCAUAAUAGUUGUAUUACACGGAUUGUGCACAGCCUCUGGUAAAGCUACAAAAAUUUUCCAUUCUGUUUUACCCGCGAUGUGUUGAUAGUGCUAUGCUAUUGGUUUUUUUUUUAGCCAGUGCUUGCCCUCCUUUGCUGUUCGCCGUUCCUCCAUUAUGGUACUCCUGUCAAACCUCGAUUCUAUAAUAGAUGUUAUAAUAGUAAAUUAUUUUUGAUAAUUCUAAGUUAAAAUUACUAUGGAAACAGUACACAUAGACAUUUUCUUAGUAAAUUCGAGUUAUUCAAUACAUUGUGAUAAACUGAAUGUUCUAUAUUUGUGUUUAUUAUAUUAAUAAUUAUUAAUUAAACUUGUAUUAUUUAUCUUUUUAACAUUAAUUGUAUUUAUAUAAUCAAUGUGUUACGGGAAAAUUGUUUAAACCAUUUAUGGUGAUGCAAUGUCUUUUGAAAAUGAAAUACAAUUUUCGAUAGUAAUAAAAUACAGUACGAUGAACAAUACUUCCUGUUUAGCUUUCAGACUGAUCCCAGUUGUAAGUACAUUUAUUAAAAUUUUAUUGUAAAAUAUCUGAAAUUUCAAUAAAUUACCAACAAUCAGUGGUGUAGUCCUAAAAAUGUUUAUGGGUAUACGCUAGGCUGGUCCUUAUCUACUAAGGCUAAAAAAAAAAAUUGAACAAAACAUAGCGGCACCCCCUAAUUUUGUUUAUUUUUAGAUAAUAAUGAUUUUUGUUGAGUUUCGUAAGAUUUACUUACCCCCUUCGGGUGCCGAAUGAGGGUUGAAAAUAUACGCCUAUAUUAUGAAUAGAUAAUAACGUGGGGGGCUCCGCCCCCACACCCCCCAUUGCACGUUAUAUUUUCUACAUACAAUAUUUCACAAUUAUUUUGUUGAACUUUUAACUUUAUACAUUAUCAACAGUGAUAUAGUCGUAAUUUGAUCAAUAGAUAAAUUAAAAACCUAAAUGAGGAAAUGUGGGGAAUUUCACCCCAACACUACUUUU